UAGAGUUUGAUCCUGGCUCAGGAUGAACGCUGGCGGUAUGCCUAACACAUGCAAGUCGUACGAGAGUUUUAACUCUAGUGGCGGACGGGUGAGUAACACGUGAGAAUUUGCCUUUAGGAGGGGGAUAACAAUUGGAAACGAAUGCUAAUACCCCAUAUGCUUUCGAGUGAAAUGGAUUUAUAUUUAUCCGCCUAGAGAGAAGCUCGCGGCUGAUUAGCUUGUUGGUAAGGUAAGAGCUUACCAAGGCGACGAUCAGUAUCUGGUUUGAGAGGACGAUCAGACACACUGGAACUGAGACACGGUCCAGACUCCUACGGGAGGCAGCAGUGGGGAAUUUUCCGCAAUGGGCGAAAGCCUGACGGAGCAAUACCGCGUGAGGGAAGACUGCCUAUGGGUUGUAAACCUCUUUUUUCAGGGAGGAAUCAAUG
rnacentral:rRNA from 1 species